CGAUAAGGCCACACCUGUUCCCAUCCCGAACACAGAAGUUAAGUCCGUCAGCGGCAAUGGUACUACAGGGCUGACCCUGUGGGAGAGUAGCACGAUGCCGGCU
rnacentral:rRNA from 1 species